GGCGACCAAUGCAACAAUACCCAAAGUCGCCAAGGAUGUUAAAUUUUCAGAUUUGAAAUAGCUCUGAAGUGGUCCCAAAAACUCGUUUCUGAAAGUGGGAAAGUAUAGUUAUUAGAACUGUUUAAACCAGGGUAAUAUUGAUUAUCGUUAUAUUGUUUAUGUACAAACUAUUCAAUUAUGGAUAUUAUACAACGGUUAUAAUUAAUAUUUGGUUUGAUAUUAAUCAACGGAGUAAUAUUAACAAUAUUUAAUGCUCAAUGGUAAAAUUCGGGUCUGUGUUGAAUGCCCUCAAACUGACGUUAUAUGCAACCUUGCACCGGGGACUAAAAAUCAUUAUUUGUUAAGUUAAAACGUUAUAAUAAUUAUGUAAACAAUUAGUUAAAAGGUCAAUCUUGCUCACUUACUAAAGACAUGUUUCAGUUUCUCACAAAUCCCUAUAAAAAUGUCAUAAUCGACUUUGAGUUUAAUAUACGAUCGAGAGAGAUAUAGUUCAAUAGUAACUAAAGAAUACUUACACGGCACUGGGAAGUUCUGGUACUGGCUGAGGAUGGCUCUGGGUUAGAUAUCCCUUCUCUGCAAACUGGACAAAUGCUCGGGAGUGUAUUGCUUGGCCGAGUACUUGUACAUCUUUCCCUGCCGCAAGCUAUGAAUAUGUAUAGUUAAUAUUGGUUUUUCAUAGACAAAUUAAGUAGUACGUACAAGAUAAAAGCCGGUGAUUCCAAAGCUCCAAGUCUCUUGGCCGUUGAGAUUCCAGACUCCAAGCUGUUCAUGCGGGCUAUAUUCAACUUUCGCUUGAGCUUUCCGCCCACGGAUUCCCAGACGGCAUAAAGCCGCUGACAUACGGUACACUCGGCGGAAGAGCUAGAAGUGGGUGUUGCUUACAAGAAGAUAAACCAGUCUCCGGUGGUGGCCCCCGAUGAGGCUUGUGUCAGAUGCUCAAAGUUGUCGUCGGAAAGCUCUUUGACCGCUGGCUCCAAAUUGUCAUUGAA